UUAGAGUUUGAUCCUGGCUCAGGAUGAUUGCUGGCGGCAGGCUUAAUACAUGCAAGUCGAACGGUAACGACCGGUAGCAAUACUGGGGCGACGAGUGGCGCACGGGUGCGUAACGCGUAUGCAACCUACCCUUAACCGGGACAUAACGUUGAGAAAUCGGCGCUAAUAUCCCAUGUGUAUGUGAACUGGCAUCGGUAUACAUAUAAAGAUUCAUUGGUCAAGGAUGGGCAUGCGUAUCAUUAGCUAGUUGGUGGGGUAACGGCCCACCAAGACGACGAUAUCUAGGGGUUCUGAGAGGAAGGUCCCCCACACUGGAACUGAGACACGGUCCAGACUCCUACGGGAGGCAGCAGUAGGGAAUAUUGGGCAAUGGGAGCAAUCCUGACCCAGCCAUGCCGCGUGAAGGAAGAAGGCCCUACGGGUCGUAAACAUCUUUUGCCACGGAGUAACCGUCGGGACGCGUCCCGGCCUGAGAGUACGUGGCGAAUAAGUAUCGGCUAACUCCGUGCCAGCAGCCGCGGUAAUACGGAGGAUACGAGCGUUAUCCGGAUUCAUUGGGUUUAAAGGGUGCGCAGGCGGACCGGUAAGUCAGGGGUGAAAUCUCGCUGCUCAACAGUGAAUGUGCCUUUGAUACUGCCGGACUAGAGUACUGGGGGCGUGACCGGAAUGUGACGUGUAGCGGUGAAAUACUUAGAUAUGUCACAGAACGCCGAUCGUGAAGACAGGUCACGAACCAGCCACUGACGCUCAGGCACGAAAGCGUGGGUAUCAAACAGGAUUAGAUACCCUGGUAGUCCACGCCGUAAACGAUGUGCACUAGGUGUCGGAGCAUGAGCUUCGGUGCCGGAGCAAACGUGAUAAGUGCACCGCCUGGGGAGUAUGCCCGCAAGGGUGAAACUCAAAGGAAUUGACGGGGGCCCGCACAAGCGGUGGAGCAUGUGGUUUAAUUCGAUGGUACGCGAGGAACCUUACCUGGGUUUGACAUACACAGGAAUUAUAUAGAGAUAUGUAAGCGCAGCAAUGCGCCUGUGAACAGGUGCUGCAUGGCUGUCGUCGGCUCGUGCCGUGAGGUGUUGGGUUAAGUCCCGCAACGAGCGCAACCCCUACUGCCAGUUACCAGCAUGUAAAGAUGGGGACUCUGGCGGAACUGCCGGUGACAAACCGGAGGAAGGUGGGGAUGACGUCAAGUCAUCAUGGCCCUUAUGUCCAGGGCUACACACGUGCUACAAUGGUAGGUACAGAGUGAGGCGAAGCAGUGAUGUGGAGCAAAACGCAGAAAACCUAUCGUAGUUCGGAUUGAAGUCUGAAACCCGACUUCAUGAAGUUGGAAUCGCUAGUAAUCGCGCAUCAGCACGGCGCGGUGAAUACGUUCCCGGGCCUUGCACACACCGCCCGUCAAG
rnacentral:rRNA from 1 species